ACUCAAAUGAAUUGACGGGGGCCCGCACAAGCGGUGGAGCAUGUGGAUUAAUACGUCACUAACCGUAGAACCUUACCCAGGCUUGACAUCCCGGGAAUCUUCCUGAAAGGGAGGAGUGCUCGCAAGAGAGCCCGGAGACAGGUGUUGCAUGGCUGUCGUCAGCUCGUGUCGUGAGAUGUUGGGUUAAGUCCCGCAACGAGCGCAACCCUCACGGCCUGUUGCCAGCACUCGCAAGAGGAUGGGCACUCUGGCCGAACUGCCCGGGUAACCGGGAGGAAGGUGGGGAUGACGUCAAGUCAGCAUGGCCCUUACGCCUGGGGCUUCACACAUGCUACAAUGGCCGGUACAGAGGGUCCCAAGCCCGCGAGGGGGAGGCAAUCCCAAAAAGCCGGUCUCAGUUCGGAUCGCAGGCUGCAACUCGCCUGCGUGAAGUUGGAAUCGCUAGUAACCGCCGGUCAGCUAAACGGCAGUGAAUACGUUCCCGGGCCUUGUACACACCGCCCGU
rnacentral:rRNA from 1 species